CAGUCGCCGCGGUAAUACAGAGGGUGCGAGCGUUAAUCGGAUUUACUGGGCGUAAAGCGUGCGUAGGCGGCUUCUUAAGUCGGAUGUGAAAUCCCUGAGCUUAACUUAGGAAUUGCAUUCGAUACUGGGAAGCUAGAGUAUGGGAGAGGAUGGUAGAAUUCCAGGUGUAGCGGUGAAAUGCGUAGAGAUCUGGAGGAAUACCGAUGGCGAAGGCAGCCAUCUGGCCUAAUACUGACGCUGAGGUACGAAAGCAUGGGGAGCAAACAGGAUUAGAUACCCCCGUAGUCCCUGUCUCUAUACA
rnacentral:rRNA from 1 species